UACGUAGGGUGCAAGCGUUAAUCGGAAUUACUGGGCGUAAAGCGUGCGCAGGCGGUUAUGCAAGACAGAUGUGAAAUCCCCAGGCUCAACCUGGGAACUGCGUCUGAUACUGGAUGGCUUGAAUUCGGGAGAGGGAUGCAGAAUUCCAGGUGUAGCGGUGAAAUGCGUAGAUAUCUGGAGGAAUACCGGUGGCGAAGGCGGCAUCCUGGACCGACAUUGACGCUGAGGAGCGAAAGCUAGGGGAGCAAACGGG
rnacentral:rRNA from 1 species